rnacentral:rRNA from 1 species
UUGCCUACGGGAGGCAGCAGUGGGGAAUAUUGCACAAUGGGCGAAAGCCUGAUGCAGCGACGCCGCGUGAGGGAUGACGGCCUUCGGGUUGUAAACCUCUUUCAGCAGGGACGAAGCGCAAGUGACGGUACCUGCAGAAGAAGCACCGGCUAACUACGUGCCAGCAGCCGAGGUAAUACGCAGGGUGCAAGCGUUGUCCGGAAUUACUGGGCGUAAAGAGUUCGUAGGUGGUUUGUCGCGUCGUUUGUGAAAACCAGCAGCUCAACUGCUGGCUAGCAGGCGAUACGGGCAGACUUGAGUACUGCAGGUGAGACUGGAAUUCCUGGUGUAGCGGUGAAAUGCGCAGAUAUCAGGAGGAACACCGGUGGCGAAGGCGGGUCUCUGGGCAGUAACUGACGCUGAGGAACGAAAGCGUGGGUAGCGAACAGGAUUAGAUACCCCUGUAGUC